UGCCAGCCGCCGCGGUAACACGGGGGGCGCAAGCGUUAUUCGGAAUUAUUGGGCGUAAAGGGCGCGUAGGCGGUCUUGUCGGUCAGAUGUGAAAUCCCACGGCUCAACCGUGGAACUGCGUUUGAAACCACAUAGCUUGAGGGAGAUAGAGGUGAGCGGAACAGAUGGUGGAGCGGUGAAAUGCGUUGAUAUCAUCUGGAACACCGGUGGCGAAAGCGGCUCACUGGAUCUCUUCUGACGCUGAGGAACGAAAGCUAGGGUAGCGAACGGGAUUAGAUA
rnacentral:rRNA from 1 species